GACGUAGGGGGCAAGCGUUGUCCGGAAUUAUUGGGCGUAAAGAGCUCGUAGGCGGUCUGUCGCGUCUGCUGUGAAAACUCGGGGCUUAACCCCGGGCCUGCAGUGGGUACGGGCAGACUAGAGUGCGGUAGGGGAGACUGGAAUUCCUGGUGUAGCGGUGAAAUGCGCAGAUAUCAGGAGGAACACCGGUGGCGAAGGCGGGUCUCUGGGCCGUAACUGACGCUGAGGAGCGAAAGCGUGGGGAGCGAACAGG
rnacentral:rRNA from 1 species